CCCAUACCCAUGUGUGUGGGACCCCAAAGGAUCACCAUUAAAUUUAAUACAGAUGUCUAGAAAAAUUAUCACAUGGGCGUGGGAGUUUAUUUUUCUAGAGAUCUGUGCCAAAUUUAAUGGUGAUCCUUUGGGGUCCUACACACAUGGGUGUGGG
rnacentral:pre_miRNA from 1 species